GGGUCCUCCUGUGCCUCCCUCUAGAAGCUGCACUCAGUGGAAGAGUACCGCCUUCCCCGAAUAGAGAAGGACUUGUCUUCAGCCAAGGGCACGCAAGUAAUUACUCUCCCCUGCUUCAAACAUGCUAUCAGGUAAAUAAACAAAUGGUCAAACAAAACCAAACACCCCCACCUUU
rnacentral:snRNA from 1 species